GGGUUGUGAGGUUAAGCGACUAAGCGUACACGGUGGAUGCCCUGGCAGUCAGAGGCGAUGAAGGACGUGCUAAUCUGCGAUAAGCGUCGGUAAGGUGAUAUGAACCGUUAUAACCGGCGAUUUCCGAAUGGGGAAACCCAGUGUGUUUCGACACACUAUCAUUAACUGAAUCCAUAGGUUAAUGAGGCGAACCGGGGGAACUGAAACAUCUAAGUACCCCGAGGAAAAGAAAUCAACCGAGAUUCCCCCAGUAGCGGCGAGCGAACGGGGAGCAGCCCAGAGCCUGAAUCAGUGUGUGUGUUAGUGGAAGCGUCUGGAAAGGCGCGCGAUACAGGGUGACAGCCCCGUACACAAAAAUGCACAUGCUGUGAGCUCGAUGAGUAGGGCGGGACACGUGGUAUCCUGUCUGAAUAUGGGGGGACCAUCCUCCAAGGCUAAAUACUCCUGACUGACCGAUAGUGAACCAGUACCGUGAGGGAAAGGCGAAAAGAACCCCGGCGAGGGGAGUGAAAAAGAACCUGAAACCGUGUACGUACAAGCAGUGGGAGCACGCUUAGGCGUGUGACUGCGUACCUUUUGUAUAAUGGGUCAGCGACUUAUAUUCUGUAGCAAGGUUAACCGAAUAGGGGAGCCGAAGGGAAACCGAGUCUUAACUGGGCGUUAAGUUGCAGGGUAUAGACCCGAAACCCGGUGAUCUAGCCAUGGGCAGGUUGAAGGUUGGGUAACACUAACUGGAGGACCGAACCGACUAAUGUUGAAAAAUUAGCGGAUGACUUGUGGCUGGGGGUGAAAGGCCAAUCAAACCGGGAGAUAGCUGGUUCUCCCCGAAAGCUAUUUAGGUAGCGCCUCGUGAAUUCAUCUCCGGGGGUAGAGCACUGUUUCGGCAAGGGGGUCAUCCCGACUUACCAACCCGAUGCAAACUGCGAAUACCGGAGAAUGUUAUCACGGGAGACACACGGCGGGUGCUAACGUCCGUCGUGAAGAGGGAAACAACCCAGACCGCCAGCUAAGGUCCCAAAGUCAUGGUUAAGUGGGAAACGAUGUGGGAAGGCCCAGACAGCCAGGAUGUUGGCUUAGAAGCAGCCAUCAUUUAAAGAAAGCGUAAUAGCUCACUGGUCGAGUCGGCCUGCGCGGAAGAUGUAACGGGGCUAAACCAUGCACCGAAGCUGCGGCAGCGACACUAUGUGUUGUUGGGUAGGGGAGCGUUCUGUAAGCCUGUGAAGGUGUACUGUGAGGCAUGCUGGAGGUAUCAGAAGUGCGAAUGCUGACAUAAGUAACGAUAAAGCGGGUGAAAAGCCCGCUCGCCGGAAGACCAAGGGUUCCUGUCCAACGUUAAUCGGGGCAGGGUGAGUCGACCCCUAAGGCGAGGCCGAAAGGCGUAGUCGAUGGGAAACAGGUUAAUAUUCCUGUACUUGGUGUUACUGCGAAGGGGGGACGGAGAAGGCUAUGUUGGCCGGGCGACGGUUGUCCCGGUUUAAGCGUGUAGGCUGGUUUUCCAGGCAAAUCCGGAAAAUCAAGGCUGAGGCGUGAUGACGAGGCACUACGGUGCUGAAGCAACAAAUGCCCUGCUUCCAGGAAAAGCCUCUAAGCAUCAGGUAACAUCAAAUCGUACCCCAAACCGACACAGGUGGUCAGGUAGAGAAUACCAAGGCGCUUGAGAGAACUCGGGUGAAGGAACUAGGCAAAAUGGUGCCGUAACUUCGGGAGAAGGCACGCUGAUAUGUAGGUGAAGUCCCUCGCGGAUGGAGCUGAAAUCAGUCGAAGAUACCAGCUGGCUGCAACUGUUUAUUAAAAACACAGCACUGUGCAAACACGAAAGUGGACGUAUACGGUGUGACGCCUGCCCGGUGCCGGAAGGUUAAUUGAUGGGGUUAGCCGCAAGGCGAAGCUCUUGAUCGAAGCCCCGGUAAACGGCGGCCGUAACUAUAACGGUCCUAAGGUAGCGAAAUUCCUUGUCGGGUAAGUUCCGACCUGCACGAAUGGCGUAAUGAUGGCCAGGCUGUCUCCACCCGAGACUCAGUGAAAUUGAACUCGCUGUGAAGAUGCAGUGUACCCGCGGCAAGACGGAAAGACCCCGUGAACCUUUACUAUAGCUUGACACUGAACAUUGAGCCUUGAUGUGUAGGAUAGGUGGGAGGCUUUGAAGUGUGGACGCCAGUCUGCAUGGAGCCGACCUUGAAAUACCACCCUUUAAUGUUUGAUGUUCUAACGUUGACCCGUAAUCCGGGUUGCGGACAGUGUCUGGUGGGUAGUUUGACUGGGGCGGUCUCCUCCUAAAGAGUAACGGAGGAGCACGAAGGUUGGCUAAUCCUGGUCGGACAUCAGGAGGUUAGUGCAAUGGCAUAAGCCAGCUUGACUGCGAGCGUGACGGCGCGAGCAGGUGCGAAAGCAGGUCAUAGUGAUCCGGUGGUUCUGAAUGGAAGGGCCAUCGCUCAACGGAUAAAAGGUACUCCGGGGAUAACAGGCUGAUACCGCCCAAGAGUUCAUAUCGACGGCGGUGUUUGGCACCUCGAUGUCGGCUCAUCACAUCCUGGGGCUGAAGUAGGUCCCAAGGGUAUGGCUGUUCGCCAUUUAAAGUGGUACGCGAGCUGGGUUUAGAACGUCGUGAGACAGUUCGGUCCCUAUCUGCCGUGGGCGCUGGAGAACUGAGGGGGGCUGCUCCUAGUACGAGAGGACCGGAGUGGACGCAUCACUGGUGUUCGGGUUGUCAUGCCAAUGGCACUGCCCGGUAGCUAAAUGCGGAAGAGAUAAGUGCUGAAAGCAUCUAAGCACGAAACUUGCCCCGAGAUGAGUUCUCCCUGACCCUUUAAGGGUCCUGAAGGAACGUUGAAGACGACGACGUUGAUAGGCCGGGUGUGUAAGCGCAGCGAUGCGUUGAGCUAACCGGUACUAAUGAACCGUGAGGCUUAACCUUACAACGCCGAAGCUGUU
rnacentral:rRNA from 1 species